rnacentral:tRNA from 1 species
GCCACCGUAGCUUAGCCCGGCAGAGCGGCUGAUUCGUAAGAGCCCCUUUCUUAAAAAGAAAGGUGCUUCACCCCCAAAGAAGGGGCUCCGAGUUAUCAGCAGGUCGGGGGUUCGAAUCCCCCCGGUGGCU